AGGAGGAAGAAGAAGAAGAAGAUGUAGAGGUUGUUGGUAUGGGGUGAAUAAAGAGAUGAUAGAGGAGAGGGACUUUUCGUAAAUCCCUUUGGGAAAUGGUAUGGUGUAUAAAGUAUAAAAUGGAAAAGUAUUUGCUUAUUUGUUUUUAAUAUUAUUAAAAGAAAUGGUUUUGUUUUCUAUAAAAAGAAAAAAAGAGAAAUGAGAGGAUAGGGAAGAAGGAAGAUGAGCUUUGAAAGCAAGAAAAGAGAGCGGCGCCGCUAGUUGGGAAUUGCAAGUGAAGAAAACAAAAUACGUGUCUUUUUGUUUGAUGCAGAGAGAAAAAAAAGAUAGGGAGGAGACAAGUGGGGAAUGGAUGAUGAGAGAGGGAGAGGGACAUCCCCCAUUUCCCAAAUCUGGAGUGUGCUAUGAAUCAAUUCGGUCUCUUUCACAUCUCUCUUGUUGGCCUCAUUUUCACUCUUUUAAGUUUUAUCUUCUUCUCCUUCAUCAUUAUUAACUUAUCCAUGUUACUAUUUGGUUAACACUAUACAAUUCAUCUACCAACUGUCCGUCAACGCUAUUCGUUUUCAAUAUCAUUUUUUUCUCUUGGGAACUAUUUUUAAAAAUUUGAAUAUCUUCCCACGAAAAACAUAUCAUUUGUGGUAAGGUUUGUUGUAAUGCAUGCAGGACUGAAUGUAUGAUACAUAUAAAUUUGAAUAAAUUUGAUAGUAUAGUUAUAAACUUAACGAAAUCUAAUUUGCG